rnacentral:rRNA from 1 species
GACGAACGCUGGCGGCGUGCUUAACACAUGCAAGUCGAGCGGUAAGGCCCUUUCGGGGGUACACGAGCGGCGAACGGGUGAGUAACACGUGGGUGACCUGCCCUUAGCUCUGGGAUAAGCCUGGGAAACUGGGUCUAAUACCGGAUAUGACUCCAUGACGCAUGUUGUGGGGUGGAAAGCCUUGUGCGGCUAGGGAUGGGCCCGCGGCCUAUCAGCUUGUUGGU